GACGGGUGAGUAACACGUUGGGAACGUACCCUUUGGUUCGGAACAACCCUGGGAAACUAGGGCUAAUACCGGAUACGCGCGAGAGCGGAAAGGUUUACCGCCGAAGGAUCGGCCCGCGUCUGAUUAGCUAGUUGGUGAGGUAACGGCUCACCAAGGCGACGAUCAGUAGCUGGUCUGAGAGGAUGAUCAGCCACAUUGGGACUGAGACACGGCCCAGACUCCUACGGGAGGCAGCAGUGGGGAAUAUUGGACAAUGGGCGCAAGCCUGAUCCAGCCAUGCCGCGUGAGUGAUGACGGCCCUAGGGUUGUAAAGCUCUUUUACCCGGGAAGAUAAUGACGGUACCGGGAGAAUAAGCCCCGGCUAACUUCGUGCCAGCAGCCGCGGUAAU
rnacentral:rRNA from 1 species